GACGAGCUGGUCCCGUUCUGGCCAGCAUAAAGUAGCACGCCGCCAACAUCCAACACGCCGCAGCGCUCAACACACGCUGACAGCGCCUCCAUAGCCGACAACCACUGAUACCACAACUUCUCGUAAAUGGUGCCAACACAAUUGCCAUCGGCGACGACCGUCGAUUAAAACUAGGUGACCUGUACGAAUAGUGUUGAUACAGUCGUGUAGGUCUUUCAGCGGGUGUGGAACUUCCCGACUGACGUCUGAUCGGCAGCCGGUGACAGGCCGCGUUGUACGGCGCCAAUUACAUGUGCCUCUACGUGUCGAGAACGUCCGAAACUGCAUCAUUCAGCUGCGCGAUAUCUGUGUGUUGUUUCCUGUGACUCUAACUCGUUUUACGGUUGUAACAUCGGACGACAAUCCGGAUGUCAACUCGCAGAACGUGGCUCCUGUUAACUGAAGCUCAUGCUGGUCAAGUCUGCUGAAGAGUGCAGCUAACCCGCUGACCGGACACGCUGAGCUGCUGUGCCGGCAUCUGCUCAGUGAACUACGACGGCUGGGAAAGAAACUUUGCUGCAAGCUGAGAAGGGCGUUUCAUCAUAGAGCUGUAUUG